rnacentral:lncRNA from 1 species
AUAUGUGUUACACAGAGAGAACAAAAAUUUUAUUUAUCAUAAGAUAUUCACUUACAAAAUGAAAAGAUACCACAGGAUCUACCAAUACUGGUCCUGACACUCUACUUGUAAUCACAGUAAAGUAAUACUGCCUCCAUUUAUACUGACAUCCACACAUAUUCAUAAACAAUAUUACCAGUGAGAAUUAUUGUCUGUGAAUACUGAUAGGAUUGAACAGAUGAAAGUGACCCUUUCUACCACUGUGCACAGGGAAGCUGUUUUAUCCCC